CGAGUUCAAUGUGUCCUAAUGACUCUCGGCAACGGAUAUCUCGGCUCUCGCAACGAUGAAGAACGUAGCAAAAUGCGAUACGUGGUGUGAAUUGCAGAAUUCCGUGAACCAUCGAGUUUUUGAACGCAAGUUGCGCCCGAAGCCAUUCGGUCGA
rnacentral:rRNA from 1 species